rnacentral:lncRNA from 1 species
AUCAAAUGGAGGCCAUGCUUGCAUCAGCAGCGAGUGAAGGAUGCUCACAGGAAACUAAUGUGGUGGGACCUUGUUCUUACAUUUGUCCCGUAUUUACUGAGCCCCCACUAUGUACUAGAAGCCCAGCUCCAGACCAGCUCCACAAGACGUUCCCACUCAGCCGGCAGCCGACAGGUGAACAAGCCAUAACCAGACAGGCCCAGCUGCUUGAGGGCAGGGACUGUGUCUUAUCUGACUCUGUCUCCCAGGACCAUGUAGCAGGACCUCGGGAUUCACUUGUUGCCUCAAUGACUGAACUCUUUCACACCGAAGUGAAAACCACGGAUAAGACAGCACGCUCCUUCUACCUGGAACAUUCCUAUCUCAACCAAAGACCUGGCAGUUCGGCCACAGAGAGUAACUCACCUGAGCUUCUGGGAGAAUUAAAUAACUAAUUCUUAGACAGAGGAUGGCGACAAACAAGAAUAAACUGAAAAUCGCAGACUCUCUAGCAAAAGUGAAGUAAGUGGGUUUUGUGGAUUGUGUCCCCCAAAACGAUAUGUUGAAGUCCUAAUCCCAGGGACUGUCGAUGUGACCUUGUUUGGAAAAGGGGUCUUUGCAGAUGUAAUCAAGUUAAGAUGAGGUCGGACUCAAUCAGGGUGGGCCCUGAAUCCAGUAUGACUGGUGUCUUCAUAAGACGGCCAUGUGAUGACAGAGGCAGAGCUUGGCAUGAUGGGGGUACAAGCCAAGGACUGCCGUCAACUACCAGAAGCUGGAGAGAGGCGUGGAACGGAUUCUCCCUGAGAGCCUUUAGAAGGAACCAAAUUUGCCAACUGCUCGAUUUUUGGCUUCCAGCCUCGAGAACUCCAGCAUCAGUAUUCCAAAGGAGUGAAACCAAAUUGAAAUAACCAACUAGGAUCACUGGAUCAGUGGAAUCACAGAAUUGGAAAUACAGUUGUGAACAAGAAAAAACUUCCCCCAUCCCAAAGGAGUACAGUGUCCAGAAAAUCCAAAGCCAGACUACCAGCGCCCAACACAGUCAGCUCACCAUUAUUCUCCUAAGAACUUCUGGUAGCAUUUUCUUCAACGAAAUGCUCCCAAAUGAUGGUGGCACUGCCCUGCUCCCAGGAUGAGAAGCCGAGUGUACUGGAAAAUGCGAAAGAACCUAAAUACAUAUGGAGGCACGCAAUUGGUGGUGGGGGAGACCCGCUGUCCAGUCUGUGAUAGGAGAAAUGGGUUUUUGUAAAGGAUGCC